UACAGAGGUCCCGAGCGUUGUUCGGAUUCACUGGGCGUAAAGGGUGCGUAGGUGGUCUCGCAAGUCUGAUGUGAAAUCUCCGGGCUUAACCCGGAAAUGGCAUUGGAAACUGCGGGGCUAGAGUGUUGGAGGGGGGACUGGAAUUCUCGGUGUAGCAGUGAAAUGCGUAGAUAUCGAGAGGAACACCAGUGGCGAAGGCGAGUCCCUGGACAACUACUGACACUGAGGCACGAAAGCUAGGGGAGCAAACAGG
rnacentral:rRNA from 1 species